rnacentral:snRNA from 1 species
AUCGCUUCUCGGCCUAUGGCUAAGAUCAAAGUGUAGUAUCUGUUCUUAUCAGCUUAAUAUCUGAUACGCCCCGCCUGCGAGGCCCAGUAUAUUAAACUGAUUUUUGGUAAUUGACGGGAAUCAGGGGCUUGCUCCGUUUCUGUCGCGGGUUGGCCUUGUAUUGCAGUACUGCA